AUGCAUCUAUUUGACAGACCUGGAGCAAUUACUGUUUGUUGUUAAGUUUUCCCUAUAAAUGCAAGAAAAAAAAGUAUCUUUGCAUUUUUAUCUCUCAGUGUGGCAGCCAAGAUUGAAUGGGGAAAUGAAUAC